AAAAAGGUUUGUUUGGUUUAAUUCACUAAUUGAAAUAAAAUUUUGAUAAUUUAUUGUUCAUUUAAAGAGUAUUAACCCAAACAAACUCCUAAGAAAAGAAUCCUACUGACACAGGCCAGGAAAUUGGAACAGGAAAGUAAGAUAAAUGGACAGAUUUUGAACAAGAUCUAGUUCCAGAAAAUUUGCUAAUUGUUCUGGUUUAAUUUUAGAACA
rnacentral:misc_RNA from 1 species